GAGAGCUGCAGUUUGUGGGCUGUGCUGUGAAGAGAGAUGGAGUUUGUUAGCUGUGCUGUGAGGAGAUGCCCAUAAGGAAUCACUAAGAAGGGAUCAGACCAUUGAAUCAGGGAACUGGGGAGCUUCCUUCCAAUGUGGAUUUACUCUUCCCUCACAUCCUUCAUGGGUACUUAGGAUACGCCAGUCAAGAGCACAAGCUUCAGGUUGAGUUUUGACUGCUCCAGACUUUGGGCAAGGAAACAGUUUUGUUCAAGAGCAAAGUAAGGUGAUUUGUUUGAAGAGCACCACUUCAGUGACUACAGAUGACUGUGCUGUACUGAAAGGCCUCCCUGUUGCAUCAGAGCAGUGAGCAGCAGGUUCAAACAGUCCUGGCUCAGAGAACCUUCUUGCACAGUUCUGAACUGCUCCUCCCCACAGCUGAAUUUUCUGGGGAAGUUAUUUGCUCAAAUGCUAAUCUAGCCUUGACCAGUUCACCAGUUCUGGUGGAUUGCUGCACAGGAUGGCAUGGCUGGAGGCUAUUGUCAAGCAGAAGUUUUCCACUCUUCCCUCUAUCCUUGUGUAAGGUGAAAGUUGUAUGGGGAGCCUUUUCAUUGAGGUUAUUUGUUCCUACCUGAUCUCCACCAAUAAAGCUGUGCCAGCUGUGUCAUGUGAGUGG